rnacentral:rRNA from 1 species
UACGUAGGGCGCAAGCGUUGUCCGGAAUUAUUGGGCGUAAAGAGCUCGUAGGCGGCUUGUCACGUCGGGUGUGAAAGCCCGGGGCUUAACCCCGGGUCUGCAUUCGAUACGGGCAGGCUAGAGUGUGGUAGGGGAGAUCGGAAUUCCUGGUGUAGCGGUGAAAUGCGCAGAUAUCAGGAGGAACACCGGUGGCGAAGGCGGAUCUCUGGGCCAUUACUGACGCUGAGGUGCGAAAGCGUGGGGAGCAAACAGG